AUGGUACUCCCUCCGAUCUAUAUUAAUUGUCUCAAAUUUGCCCAAAUAUGGAUGUAUCUAUGCCUAAAAAGCGUCUAGAUACAUGUAAUAUUUCGACAACUAUUAUGGAUCGGAGGGAGUAUAAG
rfam:Brachypodium distachyon strain Bd21 chromosome 1, whole genome shotgun sequence.